rnacentral:rRNA from 1 species
UACAGAGACUGCAAGCGUUAUUCGGAUUCAUUGGGCGUAAAGGGUGUGUAGGUGGCGCCGUAAGUCGGGUGUGAAAUUUCGGAGCUUAACUCCGAAACUGCAUUCGAUACUGCGGUGCUUGAGGACUGGAGAGGAGACUGGAAUUCAUGGUGUAGCAGUGAAAUGCGUAGAGAUCAUGAGGAAGGCCAGUGGCGAAGGCGGGUCUCUGGACAGUUCCUGACACUGAGGCACGAAGGCCAGGGGAGCAAACGGG